rnacentral:rRNA from 1 species
CGGAUCGGAGUCUGNAACCCGACUCCGUGAAGCUGGAUUCGCUAGUAAUCGCGCAUCAGCCAUGGCGCGGUGAAUACGUUCCCGGGCCUUGUACACACCGCCCGUCAAGCCAUGGGAGCCGGGGGGUGCUUGAAGUGCGUCGCCGCAAGGCGCGCCCUAGAGCAAAACCGGUGACUGGGGCUAAGUCGUAACAAGGUAAC